rnacentral:lncRNA from 1 species
GUUUGUCUUGUCGCUCAGAAAGUGAAUCCACUUUAGUUAACAACUGUUGCAACGGAUCGUCAGAGUCAGCUGAAGUAGAGUGGGAAGGGCCCUCGGAAGGUGGAGAAUGUGAGCGAUGUGGAGCACUAAGAUCAGGAAGCAAGUGUGGGGGACGGACAUCGUUAAAGAAACGAUGAUCUGUAGGAGCAAGUUCUGUAACCUUUUUGUUUCUUUGAUCUUUAUACCAUCUAUUGUUCCUCCAAUAAAAACCCAAAUUAGCGAUUGAUUCAUCGCCUAAUUCCCUUGAAUUCAAGGAGAUUG